rnacentral:rRNA from 1 species
CCUACGGGGGGCAGCAGUGGGGAAUAUUGCACAAUGGGCGCAAGCCUGAUGCAGCGACGCCGCGUGAGGGAUGGAGGCCUUCGGGUUGUAAACCUCUUUCGCCAGUGAAGCAGGCCUGCUCCUUGUGGGUGGGUUGACGGUAGCUGGAUAAGAAGCGCCGGCUAACUACGUGCCAGCAGCCGCGGUAAUACGUAGGGCGCAAGCGUUGUCCGGAAUUAUUGGGCGUAAAGAGCUCGUAGGCGGCUGGUCGCGUCUGUCGUGAAAUCCUCUGGCUUAACUGGGGGCUUGCGGUGGGUACGGGCCGGCUUGAGUGCGGUAGGGGAGACUGGAACUCCUGGUGUAGCGGUGGAAUGCGCAGAUAUCAGGAAGAACACCGGUGGCGAAGGCGGGUCUCUGGGCCGUUACUGACGCUGAGGAGCGAAAGCGUGGGGAGCGAACAGGAUUAGAUACCCCAGUAGUC